CAGCUCAUGUGUGAGGGAAGAGACCCCCUCCAAUGAGAAGGGAGGCAGAGAGUGGGAAAAGUGGCAACUCGGGUACAAAGGAGCAAAGAACGGUGAUUCAUAAGGAGGGUGGGAGAGCCAGGCCUGCCUGCCUCCACGCCUGCCACAGUAUAGAUUCCACGCCUGGCACUUACUUGGCAGAUGAACCACGAGCGCACUGACUGCCAGCUUUAUAAAGGUUUCUGAACUUUGAGACAACAAGAUUGAUUCUGCAGGAAAGCACAGGCCUUGAACAAUCAGCUUUGGCCUCAGGCUACAGAGGCAUGUGGGAUAUUGGCUCCCUGACUGGGGAUUGAACCUGCACCCCUUGCUAUGGAAGGUGAAGUCUUAACAACUGAACCAUCAGAGAAGUCCUGAGAAAGCCUUAAUAUGGAAAAAAAAAGUCAAUGGAGCUAAGAGAGUGUGCUUAGUAACGCAGAUCUUCCUGACCCAGAAAUUGAAUCGGGGUCUCCUGCGUUACAGGCAGAUUCUUUUCCAGCUGAGUUACCAGGGGUG
ensembl:lncRNA